GUCUGCUCUAAGCAAGAGGGUGUUGUCUUGUUAUUCUUCUUGAGUUUCUGGACAGCAGCCACCAUCUCCUGGCCUGGCUUUGUACCCAGCAGAGCCACACUCCAGUCCAGGCACAUCUGACCCAUGGACUGCACGCAGCCCAGCAGAGCUCACACCGCUGCUGUGCCAUCGUGGCUGUCCUGGGACACGAGGAGGGCACGUUAUUUGUGCUGACAAAUAAUACAGCGCUGUGCUUAAUUUGCAAGGAAAUCCUGUCAGCUUCCAGAGAUUGCAACUUGAAAGGACAUUAUGCAGAAAUGUGCUGCCAAAUUCGAUGCAUAUCGAGGAAUGCUUUGUAAAGACAAAACAGAAGAACUGAAAAGAAGUCUGUCGUCUCAACCACGUAUCUUUAAAAGAAUUAAAACUCAAAUGGGCUCUGUUAUAAAAGCUACUGAUGUAGCAAAGCUGACUGCCAAAAACUCAAAGCCAUUGACUGACAGUGAGUUUAUUAAGUGAUGUAUCUGCCAUGCUUGCCAUACAGCGUGUCCUGAUUUAAAAAAAAGGGAUUUCUCUAACAUCACUUUGUCCCACCUGACUGGCCAAACUGAAGGAACAGGAAAAUCUAUCUAAGGAAAUUUGGAGAGUAAAGCUGCUGAUUUCUAACAUUUUGCUUUGGCAACAGAUAAAAGUACUCAUGCUGCAGAUAUGACUUGCCAAUUUCAUUAGAGGUAUUAAUAGUAAAUACAGUAUCAUUUAAAUAACAGCUUCGGUGCUGCUGAAGACACAACUCAAUCUCUUGAUUUGUAUGAAGCAGUAAAAAAUUACAUUAAAAAGCAUUUCUCUUCUACCUUUGUCAGCUAUCUGGUGCAGCUUCUGAUGGUGCCCUGGCAAUAGUUGGUAAACAAACAAACAACAACAACAACAACAACAAAAACAAAAAAACAAAAAAACCAAGGGACUUCUACAAUUAAUAGGAGAUAAUGGAACUGCAGUCAGCAACACAUAUUUGAUGAAACAUCACUGCAUUGCACGUCAAGAAAAUCUAUGUGCAAAAGCUUUAAAAAUGGGUAACGUUGUGCAAAUUGACAUCAAAGCUGUGAAGUUGAUAAAACUCAAGGGACUGAAUCAUGGUCAGUUGCAGGAGGUGUUCAGAAGAAUGGCUGCUGAUCAUGGGGACAUCGUUUCUGAAGGAAGGAAGGUGUCUGAGUGAGGGUAAAAUGCAGAAAUGAUUUGUUGAAAUGAAAUCAAACACUUAAUGGAACCCAACGGGGAAUUUGUACCAUAGUGUGAAGACAGAUAACGGCUCACAGACUCAUCAUUUCUGGUGGGUUUGACCACUCAUUUAAGUGAGUUAAACAUGCGCCUUCAAGGUGAAAAUGAACUCAGCUGUGCUGUUUCAGACAAUAACAGCAUUUUAAAUGACACAGAUUAUGGCAAACUCAACUGAUGGCAAAUCAUUUCACGCAUUGUGAUCCAUUGGCUAAACACAGCCCGUGAGCAGCGACAAAUAUGCAGCUGUGCCUUCCGUGGCAAUAAAGGGAUUUGGGAAUAGGUUUCGAGAGUUCCAAAAAAAUAAUCCUUUUUGGUUUUUUGUAUAUUUGCAACUCCAGUUUCAGUUGAGAUAAAUACAUGACGUGAAUUUUCAAAUGGAAUACAUCGAGUUGCAGUCAGACAUUCAACUCAAAAAACUGGCUGUGUCUUUUUCCCAGACUUCUAUAAGCUCUCUCUUACCAAAGGGAAAUAAGAGAACUACCCCUCAAUUCACAACAAGGUCACUGCUUUUUAGCAGUAUGAGCAUUUCUGAAUGAUUAUUGCCAAGGAUGAAGCAUGGGAAGAUUAAUAUUUCACCAAAAAUCUCUGAUGAACACUGGGAGAGCUCCCUGGGAAUGGCAACCAUGGGGCCAGCCUGAGGUGUGAGUUCCACAGCAGCAAGGUCAAACAUCCCAC
rnacentral:lncRNA from 1 species